CCUACGGGUGGCAGCAGUGAGGAAUAUUGGUCAAUGGACGAGAGUCUGAACCAGCCAAGUCGCGUGAAGGAUGACUGUCCUAUGGGUUGUAAACUUCUUUUAUAUGGGAAUAAAAUGUUCCACGUGUGGGAUUUUGUAUGUACCAUAUGAAUAAGGAUCGGCUAACUCCGUGCCAGCAGCCGCGGUAAUACGGAGGAUCCGAGCGUUAUCCGGAUUUAUUGGGUUUAAAGGGAGCGUAGGUGGAUUGUUAAGUCAGUUGUGAAAGUUUGCGGCUCAACCGUAAAAUUGCAGUUGAAACUGGCAGUCUUGAGUACAGGAGAGGUAGGCGGAAUUCGUUGUGUAGCGGUGAAAUGCUUAGAUAUCACGAAGAACUCCGAUUGCGAAGGCAGUUCACUGGACUGCAACUGACACUGAGGCUCGAAAGUGUGGGUAUCAAACAGGAUUAGAUACCCCUGUAGUC
rnacentral:rRNA from 1 species